CCUGUGCAGGAAUUGGGGCGUUGGGGAGCCCCCUAGCAUGUGGGGCACUUACCUUGGGGAUUUAAGGCCAGUGAACUGGAGCGUGAUUAGCUGACUUAGGGAGCUCCAGAGGGUCGAUGAGUGGAUGGCGAAGGAAGGCCUCUUAGAUCCAAACGUCAAGUCAGUUUUUGUCACCUGCGGAGACUCGACUUAAAAGUCAUGAUGGACUCCUCUUGCCUCGUGGAGUCAGUUUCCAAGACACCAUCUUCCCAGACGCU
rnacentral:lncRNA from 1 species